rnacentral:tRNA from 1 species
AAGAUUUUAAGUUAAUUAAACUUUAAAUUUUCAAAGUUUAACAUAUAAAUUUAUUUAUUUUAUAGGUCUUA